rnacentral:rRNA from 1 species
GAUGAACGCUGGCGGCGCGCCUAACACAUGCAAGUCGAACGAUUAAAGCACCUUCGGGUGUGUAUAAAGUGGCGAACGGCUGAGUAACACGUGGGCAACCUGCCCCUUUCAUUGGGAUAGCCACGGGAAACCGUGGAUAAUACCGAAUACUUCGAGACUUCCGCAUGGAAGACUCGAGAAAGCUCCGGCGGAGAGGGAUGGGGCAGCGGCCUGUUAGCUUGUUGGUGGGGUAACGGCCUACCAAGGCAAUGAUGGGCAGCUGGGUUGAGAGACCGACCAGCCAGAUUGGGACUGAGACACGGCCCAGACUCCUACGGGAGGCAGCAGUGGGGAAUCUUGCACAAUGGGCGAAAGCCUGAUGCAGCGACGCCGCGUGCGGGAUGAAGGCCUUCGGGUUGUAAACCGCUUUCAGCAGGGACGAGGCGAAAGUGACGGUACCUGCAGAAGAAGCCCCGGCUAACUACGUG